rnacentral:rRNA from 1 species
AGAGUUUGAUCAUGGCUCAGAACGAACGCUGGCGGCAUGCCUAACACAUGCAAGUCGAACGCGUGACUUCGGUCACGAGUGGCGCACGGGUGAGUAGCGCGUGGGAACCUGCCCUUUGGUACGGAAUAACCUCGGGAAACUGUGGCUAAUACCGUAUGUACCCUACGGGGGAAAGAUUUAUCGCCGGAGGAGGGGCCCGCGUCCGAUUAGGUAGUUGGUGAGGUAACGGCUCACCAAGCCUUCGAUCGGUAGCUGGUCUGAGAGGAUGAUCAGCCACACUGGGACUGAGACACGGCCCAGACUCCUACGGGAGGCAGCAGUGGGGAAUAUUGGACAAUGGGGGCAACCCUGAUCCAGCAAUGCCGCGUGAGUGAUGAAGGCCUUCGGGUUGUAAAGCUCUUUCGCCUACGACGAUGGUGACGGUAGUAGGAGAAGAAGCCCCGGCUAACUUCGUGCCAGCAGCCGCGGUAAUACGAAGGGGGCUAGCGUUGUUCGGAGUUACUGGGCGUAAAGGGCGCGUAGGCGGCUGUCCAAGUCAGGUGUGAAAGCCCGGGGCUCAACCCCGGAUGUGCACUUGAGACUGGGCGGCUUGAGGAUGGGAGAGGAUGGUGGAAUUCCCAGUGUAGAGGUGAAAUUCGUAGAUAUUGGGAAGAACACCGGUGGCGAAGGCGGCCAUCUGGACCAUUUCUGACGCUGAGGCGCGAAAGCGUGGGGAGCAAACAGGAUUAGAUACCCUAGUAGUCC